CUGCACUGUCAUUGUAUGGGAACUGCGACCAUAAUCAAGAUAUAAUAAUUAAUGACCGGAUUUUCCAUUUCAUUCCUGAUUUUCCUCCUUACAGGGACAGUCUGGAGCCAGCAGCACCAGUCCAGAGCCCACCUCCAAUGAUGAAAAGUUAUCAGAAGGAAAUUACUUAUAAAAUGAAGAAUGCCUUACAGAACCAUGAGCCCACCUGUAGCCUCCCCUGAGCCCAGCACCCUCAGCCAGGAUCAGCUCCAGCUCAGGCGUGGCACCACCAGUGAUUAGGGACCGGAUUAAGGAUUGUGGUGUUAAAAUCCACACUACAGGAGUGCCUCAAACCUAGUGACACUUGUGGGACACAAAUCAAGCUACAACGGAGGGCGCGCUACAUGGAAACGUGAGGGGAGGGUGCGUACAUGAGUUUCUUGACCUCGUAGCUGAGGUGAUAGCUGUACGUGUUGUCCUCUGUCACCCUGCAAGUAACAAGAAGACAGCGUGAGCAACCAGCCCGUGAGGAGCGUGUGAGGGACCCAGGAGUGUGACUCACAACACAGAGUGAAGAGUGAAUAUUAGCAGUGAGACUCCUCUGGAUAAGUGUUGCCAUUUAAAGGUCAAAGCCAAAGGAGAUGUGAAGGAUCUGCUUGAGGGAUCAGCUAUCAAAGAGUCCAAACAUUUAACAGGUGAACAAGUUAAGAAGCAAUAAGUGCUUUUACUACACACAGAGAUUAGUUUAAAAAUUGCUAGCUUACCAUAAACGAUUGGAUGGCCUCAGCUGAACAUAUUAUAGCUUCAUUUGUUUAGGUCAUGUUUCUUACAACAAUUAAAAAUGGUUAACUGCUGUUUUGAGAAAGAUGUGUGUACCCCUAAUACAGUAUUACUGAUCUAAACGUCCACCACCAGAAGGAAGACAACUAUCCACCAUGAGCUGUCCCUGUAAUUAAUGACAUUGACAAGUAAAAACUAAAUAUUGCAGUGUUGGUUACUCAGCCUGUGAACAAACACCAUUACCUCUCUCUCUCUCUCUCUCUCUCUCUCUCUCUCUCUCUCUCUCUCUCUCUCUCUCUCCCCCACGAAGAGAAAGAGAUAAAAUUUUUUAACCAGUCAUGUUUAUUCUGAAUCUGUUCCUAGCAGAUAAUAGGGAAAACAAAACAGUAAGCAAUAAAACACCUAAAGGAACAUAAAGGAGAGGAAGACUGAAACAACAAGUCUAGCUGUGGCUGGUUAGACAACAAUAAUCAAUUAUCAUUCAAACAAUGGUUAACAGUGCCUCAAACCAGAGAUGGCUUUAUUAAAAUUUAUCAUGAACUAAGUCAAAUGGCCUAAUCUGUUGAUUGUCAUUACCAGCAAGUCCAAGACUAGAAGCUCACAUACAUAUUCACUCAACACAGAGAUGGCAAUGCCCACAUCUUCAACAAAUAACUGCUGAUCCAUCCUGACAACUAUCCAAACCUGUGAGCUGAAGUGACUCACAAUUGAGCUUAUGUUUGAUGUCAGCUGCCACUCACUUCACAAAAUUUACAGACUUCACAGUUAUGCCAUACAUCUAUGGUUCAUGUCAUGAAGAGUGAAUAUAUGUUGUAAACAAUCACUUUAUCAUUCUAAAGAAGAAGAAAAAAAAAUAAUAAUGAGAAAUGUAUGAUGGCAACCUCUGCUACUACAGUAAUGAGCCAACAGUGUUUUCAUGGUGUACAGCUAAAACAAUAUGUAUUCUCUGCAUUUUUUUUCCUUCUAGUAUGUUCUUUAACUCUGUCUGGAUUUUGAAGUAGUUUAUCAAGACAUCAGCUGUUUGUGUUUUUAUUGAAAUUCUAUUUUAAGAGCUGUCAUGUAUAAUAGUAAAAAUUUCAGAAAAAUCUAAAACCUUUGAGGACUCAACAAAAUAUAAGAUUAUGCCAUACACAUUACAGCAUGGUUCAUACAGUACUUAAAUGUGUUUUAAGCAAUAUAACAUGUACAAAUGUUAUCUAGACCAUAUGUUAAAACAGAACUAAAGUGUAUUCUUUCCCUAAUAAUGCAUUUUUCUUACAAUAUGCUUAGCCUUUACUUUACAAUGAUGAUGAUUAGAAGGCUAUAAAUACAGGCAUUAUUAUGUACUACAAAUUUUCUCCUAUCACUAUGCUUUAAAUAUUAUGCAUGGCAAAACACCCAUGUGAUGAAUUGCAUUUUGAGUAUGCUAUGCUACUUAAAUAUCACCAUAAAAAGGACAAAUGACAAAAGCAGAAAGUAAAUGCACUUUAGAUUUCAGGACUAAUGAAGGAUAAAAGUUACUCAACAUCUGCAUACUCAAAAUACACUUAUAAUAACUUUAGAACUUUUAGUGUUAUGGCAGAAUGAGAGGCAUAUUGUGUUACUUCUCUAAGAGCUAAAGAUAGCAGAAGGAAAAUUUACUCUCCUAGUAAGCACUAGAGAUGCUAAUAAAAUAUCUGAAGACAUAAUAACUGUCUUGUGCUGUGAUAAAACAACAGCUUUCUAGUUCAGAUUUAUAAACUGCAUUUAAUAAUAAUAAUAAUAAUAAUAAUAAUAAUAAUAAUAAUAAUAAUAAUAAUAAUAAUAAUAAUAAUAAUAAUAAUAGUAAUAAUAAUAAUAAUAACAGUGAUGAUAACAAUUAACAUCAACAAAGAAACAAAAUGGCAACACUGAAAUAAUAACAAAGUUAAUGGAUAUUUCAGUCUUACUGUAACAAAAUGGGUUUCUUUUGAAUGGAUGUUUCAUUAUGUUGUACAAAGAAAUUAAAUUAGCUAUUCUAUGCAUAUAGUGCAGAAAAAAAGGCAAAAAUAUGCAACUGAAGAGAAGCUGAAAAUACUUGAUAGUAAGUAAUAUUCUUGUGUAAGAAAGCUGUUCAAACAAACCUAAGUUAUGCCAUACUUCCUGUCAGCCAUCAGUGAGUUUCACUUCCACUUCAUUGGCUCAAGAAAUCUGGAUGUAUUUUGUAAUGAUUUCAUUACUGAACAAAUGCUUUGAAAAAGAUCUAGAUAAAGUGUGAUACCAGAAACUGAAUAAUAUCACAAAAAAGCAUUGCACACUCCUCCAAA